UACGUAGGGUGCGAGCGUUAAUCGGAAUUACUGGGCGUAAAGCGUGCGCAGGCGGUUAUGUAAGACAGAUGUGAAAUCCCCGGGCUUAACCUGGGAACUGCGUUUGUGACUGCAUAACUGGAGUACGGCAGAGGGGGGUGGAAUUCCUGGUGUAGCAGUGAAAUGCGUAGAUAUCAGGAGGAACACCGAUGGCGAAGGCAGCCCCCUGGGCCGAUACUGACGCUCAUGCACGAAAGCGUGGGGAGCAAACAGG
rnacentral:misc_RNA from 1 species